rnacentral:rRNA from 1 species
CACAGGUGCUGCAUGGCUGUCGUCAGCUCGUGUCGUGAGAUGUGGUUAAGUCCCGCAACGAGCGCAACCCUUAUCAUUAGUUGCUACGCAAAGGGCACUCUAAUGAGACUGCCGGUGACAAACCGGAGGAAGGUGGGGAUGACGUCAAGUCCUCAUGGCCCUUAUGCGUAGGGCUUCACACGUCAUACAAUGGUCGGUACAGAGGGUUGCCAACCCGCGAGGGGGAGCCAAUCCCACAAAGCCGAUCGUAGUCCGGAUUGCAGUCUGCAACUCGACUGCAUGAAGUCGGAAUCGCUAGUAAUCGCGGAUCAGCAUGUCGCGGUGAAUACGUUCCCGGGUCUU